GGUCAAGCGGUUAAGACACCGCCCUUUCACGGCGGUAACACGGGUUCGAGUCCCGUAGGAG
rnacentral:tRNA from 2 species